GACUCUUUGUUGUUUCUGAACGUUCCACUUUUACUAUUUUUAGUACAUCUUCAUCACUCUAGUUUGUGUGGUUGAAUAAUAUGUGUGUUUACACAUCUUUGAAUGAAGCUUACUGCAAGUCUUUUCUGUUUCUCAUUCUGUUUUUGAAUUGAAGGUUCUUCCUUUGACAUACUAUGCAUAAGAGCAGUCUCUUUGACUUGAUCCUAAUGUACGAUACGACGAGGGUGGGUGGAGUCCACACACCCAUAAAUAUGGAGAAAAGCACAUUUUA